GAUGAAUGCUGGCGGCGUGCCUAAUACAUGCCAGUCGAGCGAACAGACGAGGAGCUUGCUCCUUUGACGUUAGCGGCGGACGGGUGAGUAACACGUAGGUAACCUACCUAUAAGACUGGGAUAACUUCGGGAAACCGGAGCUAAUACCGGAUAAUAUUUCGAACCGCAUGGUUCGAUAGUGAAAGAUGGCUUUGCUAUCACUUAUAGAUGGACCUGCGCCGUAUUAGCUAGUUGGUAAGGUAACGGCUUACCAAGGCAACGAUACGUAGCCGACCUGAGAGGGUGAUCGGCCACACUGGAACUGAGACACGGUCCAGACUCCUACGGGAGGCAGCAGUAGGGAAUCUUCCGCAAUGGGCGAAAGCCUGACGGAGCAACGCCGCGUGAGUGAUGAAGGUCUUCGGAUCGUAAAACUCUGUUAUUAGGGAAGAACAAACGUGUAAGUAACUGUGCACGUCUUGACGGUACCUAAUCAGAAAGCCACGGCUAACUACGUG
rnacentral:rRNA from 1 species